AGGCACUUCCGCUGCAAGAGGUUGAGAGCGCGGCCUUCAUUCCUCUCCGGGAGCAAGCGCCUGGCUCUCCUUUCUGAUUCCUGCAGGAGAGGAGGCUGUUCCUGGACUAUUUCUGACCUGUUUUUUAAGAAAGAGUGCAUCACUCAACAGGUGGCAUCUGGAGUUAUCCUCUGUGGAUUUUCCAGGAUCUCAGACAAGAUCGUGCAAUCUCCCAGCCUCCUUUCCUUCCCCUGCUCUGGCUUCUGAAAGAAUGCUGCGGAGAGGAGGAAAGAGAGCAUCCUGGCUCCUAGCAGCAGAGCCCCACUGUGACAGGACCUAGCAUUCACCUUUCUCUUCUGUUCCGAGUGGAAGAAGAAUCAGAAUCAUACCCUGAGAGCUACAAGGAGAACUCCAUUUUUCACUGUGCAGGGGCUCUCUCCUGAAGGGUCAAGUGGAAUCUGGAAUCCAGCCCAUGUUUCCCCAUCAUCAAGCCAUGUGAAGCUGCAGACUCCCUGAGUGUCUUAGUCUGUUUGUGCUGCUAUAACAAAAUAUACCAUAGACUGGGUGGCUUAAACAGCAAACCUUUAUAACUCACAG
rnacentral:lncRNA from 1 species